GUGCCCACUUUGGCAGCACAUAAACUAAAAUUGGAAUGAUACGGAGAUUAGCAUGGACCCUGCACAAGAAUGACACGCAAAUUCGUGAAGCAUUCCAUAUUUUU
rnacentral:snRNA from 1 species